rnacentral:misc_RNA from 1 species
UCCGGUUUGUCACCGGCAGUCUCGCAUGAGUCCCCAACUAAAUGCUGGCAACAUGCGACGGGGGUUGCGCUCGUUGCGGGACUUAACCCAACAUCUCACGACACGAGCUGACGACAGCCAUGCACCACCUGUGAAGGUGCCCCGAAGGGAAGCCGUGUUUCCACGGCGGUCACCCACAUGUCAAGCCCAGGUAAGGUGGGGAUGACGUAGCUAAGCCUUC